UACGGAGGGUGCAAGCGUUGCUCGGAAUUAUUGGGCGUAAAGGGUAGGUAGGUGGUCUCAUUUGUCUGGGGUGAAAGCCUUGAGCUUAACUCAAGAAGUGCCCCAGAAACGGUGAGACUAGAGUCUUGGAGAGGGUCGUGGAAUUCCCGGUGUAGCGGUGAAAUGCGUAGAUAUCGAGAGGAACACCUGCGGCGAAGGCGGGUAGCUGGGCCGACACUGACGCUGAGGCGCGAAAGCCAGGGGAGCGAACGGG
rnacentral:rRNA from 1 species